rnacentral:lncRNA from 1 species
UUCUGAUAGGUGCACCUGACAUGGCAUUUCCACGAUUAAAUAAUAUAUCAUUCUGGUUGUUGCCACCAAGUCUCUUGCUCCUAUUAAGCUCAGCCUUAGUAGAAGUGGGCAGCGGCACUGGGUGGACGGUCUAUCCGCCCUUAAGUGGUAUUACCAGCCAUUCUGGAGGAGCAGUUGAUUUAGCAAUUUUUAGUCUUCAUCUAUCAGGUGUUUCAUCAAUUUUAGGUUCUAUCAAUUUUAUAACUACUAUCUUCAACAUGCGUGGACCUGGAAUGACUAUGCAUAGAUUACCACUUUUUGUGUGGUCCGUUCUAGUGACAGCAUUCCUACUUUUAUUAUCACUUCCGGUACUGGCAGGGGCAAUUACAAUGUUAUUAACCGAUCGAAACUUUAAUACAACCUUUUUUGAUCCAGCAGGAGGGGGAGACCCAAUAUUAUACCAGCAUCUCUUUUGGUUCUUCGGUCAUCCAGAGGUGUAUAUUCUCAUUCUGCCUGGAUUCGGUAUUAUUAGUCAUAUCGUAUCGACCUUUUCAAGAAAACCGGUCUUCGGGUAUCUAGGCAUGGUUUAUGCCAUGAUAAGUAUAGGUGUUCUUGGAUUUCUAGUUUGGGCUCAUCAUAUGUUUACUGUGGGCUUAGACGUUGAUACGCGUGCCUACUUCACCGCAGCUACCAUGAUCAUAGCUGUGCCCACUGGAAUCAAAAUCUUUAGUUGGAUCGCUACCAUGUGGGGAGGUUCGAUACAAUACAAAACACCCAUGUUAUUUGCUGUAGGGUUCAUCUUUUUGUUCACCAUAGGAGGGCUCACUGGAAUAGUUCUAGCAAACUCUGGGCUAGACAUUGCUCUACAUGAUACUUAUUAUGUGGUUGCACAUUUCCAUUAUGUACUUUCUAUGGGAGCCGUUUUUGCUUUAUUUGCUGGAUUUUACUAUUGGGUGGGUAAAAUCUUUGGUCGGACAUAUCCUGAAACUUUAGGCCAAAUCCAUUUUUGGAUCACUUUUUUCGGGGUUAAUCUGACCUUCUUUCCCAUGCAUUUCUUAGGGCUUUCGGGUAUGCCACGUCGCAUUCCAGAUUAUCCAGAUGCUUACGCCGGAUGGAAUGCUCUGAGCAGUUUCGGUUCUUAUAUAUCCGUAGUUGGGAUUCGUCGUUUCUUCGUAGUUGUCGCAAUCACUUCAAGCAGUGGAAAGAACAAAAGAUGUGCGGAAAGUCCUUGGGCUGUUGAACAGAAUCCAACCACACUAGAAUGGUUGGUACAAAGCCCUCCAGCCUUUCAUACUUUUGGAGAACUUCCAACUAUCAAAGAAACGGAAAACAAAGGAAUAAAAUAAAAUAAAAUGAACACCCCACGGUGUUACGAAAAAUUUGUCUACUUUUUCUUAUUCUUCUUCUUCCAGGUGCGGGAAAUCAUCCGAAACGAAUGCCUUCGUUCGAUGAUCCAUGAGGGAUGGAAAUUUCGAAUUUCAUUAUUCAAAAGUGAGUAGAGGGUCCACAUUAAACAAAUCGGACUCACCAGAAUACUAGACUUCUGUGCUGGAGUGAAGAAGCCACUUCAGUACAGUUUCAGGGCAGUAAGGAACUCAGCACCGAAAGGAACUGGUCUAACAAAAGGGGCCGAGAACUACAUAUGGUCUGAGACUAACUUCCUUGAAAAGAGGAAGACAAGUUAUGUAGGCAGUAGCCGUUCAAGAAAUGCAGCGGUUGCUCGACCAAAGCCGGUCAAUAAGACAGAUCCGAAUGCCACAAUACCGGCUGUUCAAUUUGAGAAAGGCCCAUCUCCUGAUUGUGGACACUCAAAUCGAAUACUUUAGCAAUUGGUCUGACAGAACGGAUGGUAAGGUGGGGGACCCAUACCUUUAUUCUAUUCCCGUGCUUAGAGCGAGUGAAUGAAAAGCUACGCCUGCUGCUUGUGUUGAUUGAAAAGAAACCUGUCGGGAGACAGAUCGAUGUAGGCGCUCGUCCACUGUUGGCGGUGCUACACCAUAGAUUUGUACCUAGGAGCAAGAACCGUGGCUUCAGGAUCAGCUAAGGGUUAAUGGGGUUUCUGAUACCUUCUAUUAUUCGUUGAAGCAGGUUCUUUGACUCGGUAGGCACAGCUAGAAGUCACACGAGGUACGCCGGAUGAAAGUUUCCUUCUUUCCAUGAUGGAUCCGCUACUAAGAAAGUAAGAGAAAGAACUGGUCCAUAAAACCCCCUUUUUACCAGCACCGUAACAGACUGGAAUCGCAGGAACAACUGGUUCCAUGGAAGUAGAAAUGGCCCUCCUCCUAGAAUGCCAAGAGGAGCAAUGAAAGUAGUAUAUACUAAUUGUCAAUGGCCUGAUACGGUCACCCUAUGGCCACUUUAACAGGGACUGCCACUAGACAUAGGUAUUACUCCGGGGUUGUAAAGAGCAUUGGUCCAGUGCAAUAUACUAUAGCAUAUCCCCAGACUGGAGAGUACACCAUAUCAUCUAAAAAAAUAAGAUUUCGAGGAUCUACGCUAUGGGUACUAAUACUAUAGAUAAUCGGAAUCCUACACUCCCAUGAGGAAUGAAUGCGACACCCUAUAGAAAGAGUCCAGAUAGAACGAUUCUUUCUUACCUAAAGUCCCACUUGCUGACCUGCUUCCCUAAGGGAAUAGAGUGACGUGCACUGGCACUAGAUGAGCUUAAGAUUUUCAAUAUACUUGCUUAAGACUUUCUUAUACAAUUGGCACUCCAAGGGAAGAUCAAGGGAUAAGCACUCACUAUAAUCGGGGUGAGAUCUCGUAAGAGUUGGCACCCUCGCCGCUGGCUUACUAAAUGUAAGAGAACUUGCGGUGAAAAGGGUACUCCCAAUUGCUGUAACAGAACUCGCAGGUAGAAGAACGAACUUCCAAUGCAUCGAAGCUUUCUACUCCUGCUUGAAUACUUGCUCUUGCUCAAUGGCCGAAAGAGAACUUUAUUUAGUAAAGCACUUUUAAAAGCUUUCAAAAAUUGGCUAACUGGAUUGAUUUUCCCUUGUUGGGACUGGAGAGACUUGUGCAAUUGGAGGGGCACUUUCACCCACAGGCUCGUAAGGGGAAGGGACAAAUACCUUUACUUGGUCUAACAGUCCAAGAGCUCUCACGGUAAUUGGAUAGCUGGAAAGCUGGCUUGAACCAAGCCAAAAGGCGGUGUGUCAUCACCUUGAACCAAUGAAUUCUCAGAUUACUGGCAGUAAUUCGUUCAUUUCAAUGAAAGAGCAGGUAGCUAUAAGUUUCCCCACUCUAAUAGUAUUUUUGAGAUUCAAGCUUAUUUCCUUGAGGAUCGCAACCCGAAUCUUAGGAUAGUCUACUUUCUGAUAGUAUAGGAAUAGCAGUCACAGAGGGAGGAUCACAAAUAAGUGUAUUCUUACUAGAUGAGACAUCUUCUCUAUUCUUACUAGAAGAGACAUCUUCUGAAGAUUUCUUAAAAAAAUUCAAAAGAAUUUAUCGUUGGUCCUGUCUUCUUUCCAAAAAAAGUGAGGGGGCCCACCACACCACUUCCCUCGACCCCUUACCACGGGAGUCACUAAAGAUGAGACUGACCAUGAUAAGGGUAUGGGGCAUUGAUUGGCUUGGAGGAUUAAGGGGAAUAGAUUCGGGUAGUGGAGCCAACAUAUUAGGUCGGCCACUGAGAUUUUGCCCCUUUUUCUCCACCAGCGCAGGAGGGAUUGCAGCGGGAUUCAGAUGCCGCUCUUGACUGAGCCCGGGUUUAGGGGCUACCUGGGUUUGUGCCCAACCUGGGGGCGCCAAGCGCAAUUCGAGAUCGGGAUAGAGGGUUCUAGGGUAAAAGCAAUCCAUCCUUAUAGCAAGUCCUAGAGUUAAGUAAAAAAGACUUCUCGGGAGUUUGGGAGUGUGACUAUAACCAGUACUCUUGUAUAAUAUCCUCUCUCUAGUUAAAAUGAGUAUUACCUGCCUGCACAAUCAAUCUAUGGCGAUCUCGGUCUCACGCGCCAGUCCCUCUUGCUAAGCCUAAGUGUUAAGCAUAGCAUAUCUUAUAUUAACCCAUCUUAAAAGGACUUCCAGACAUUGAUUUUAGGAGAGUCAUUUUGUAGGGCCAUUCUUUUUCUCCUCGCGAGCCAGUACCCUUAUUAGGAAAGUAGGGACUUAUUUGAAGUUCAUAGAUAUAGUCUAUCAGGCUGGUCUCCGGGGUCGUUUCCCUAGCAGAGCUGGUUGGUUUCUGCAGAGAAACUAACAAGAUGCUGCAAUGGCAGAGGCCCACUGAACAUGUUUUCUGCAAGAGAUAUGGAUCGCCCUGUUGUCCCCAAUAAUUAACUCUCGCUGACCGCUCCCAUCCAGAUGUUCAUGACAGUUCUCGAUUGCGAAAGAAGCUGCUUCUAAGGAAUGAUGAAUCACCUAAGACUCCGACAACCGAAUCGCACAGAGUGCGAAAACCCGACUCACUUCAAACACCCGAUCACGGCAAAUUGGGUAAUAAAAACAGUCAAGAGGGCUGUCAACUUAAAUGAUUUUGAACCCCUCUCGGUCGAUCUUGACAUGGAUAGUCCACUGGGUCAUUGGCUAGAGAAGUACCGCCAAGCAAAGGGAGAGCAAUCCACGCGGCAUAAGAGUGAAGGUACGUUUGUUGGUAACACAACACAACGAAAGCAAUGAAUUAAAUGGGAUCAAUGCCUAGCAUAGUGGUCUAUUAAAAAUUCAAUUGACUUUGCUAUUUGUCUUUUUUGAACUAUGUUUCAUUCAUAUGAUAGAAUAUGGGUUUAAAUAAAUUGGAUCCUUGCUGAGUCUUCCCCGGAUAAAUACUUAUUUAUCCACAGAUAGCAAGUUUUAAUUAGUAUACAAAAUACUAAACAAAACCAAUGACUAUUCAUGAUUCCAUCCAUAUUGGAUCAAUUCCCUAUACCACUUUGAAAUGAAAUUAGAGGAAUGCUAUGGUAAAACUUCGUUUAAAACGAUGUGGUAGAAAGCAACGUGCGACUUGAAGGACAUGAUCGAUUGUGGAUUUUGCUAUCCAUCAUUUUCCAUAGUAAUGAAGAUGCUCUUGGCUCAACAUAGUUUGUUCUAUUCUUCCAAAACCGAAUUUGUGCUGGGUUCUUUGUAAGUAAAUAGUACAUGAUGGAGCUCGAGAGGACAGAAUUUCUUUUUAUCAAGGGAAAGAAUCAUGGAUCCUGAUGCUAAAUUAUGGGUUGAUACAAAAGGAUUCAAACAAGUGUGGCUAAUUGUUUUUUAUUCAAACAACAAAAGUAUAGCUGAUCUUUUCUCCUGCAAUGUAACUCUCAAAUAUGCAUGCUAGAAAGCUGAUAUGUUGCUGAGAGAGAGGUUAGUCAGAUUGAUUUCUUUUUCUUCCUUUUGCAAUUGAGCUAUUAAGGUGGGGAUGUGUAGGCGGUUCCUCCAUCGCUCGAAGGGCACUCGUAUGUCCAACGUUCCAUCCUCUUUCAAAUAGAAUAGCAAUCCCAGAACCUACAAAAGAUGAAGCACAUUUGUAGUUCUAAUUGAUCCAAUGCACAGUACUGGGGAAGAAAAGAAUGAGCUCAGAAAGAAAAGGUAAGUCCUUGACCGUAAUUCUUCCCAUAUAGAGAGAUAAAGAAGAUGCCUCUGUACAUAUUCUGGUACGUUAUUUGAAUCCUUUCGAUGCAGGAACCAUAGCUCAGACUGAUGAUCCCUCUCUCUCCUUAGGUCACCCAAGGUAGAAAAAAUGCCCCAAACAAAGCCGAGAGUUCGAUCCAAGUACUAACCCUCUAGUUGUGAUUUCUAAAGAUUGAAUUUCAACUUAGAGUAAAACUUAAUAGUUAACACUAAACCUAAGCAACUCUGACUUUUCCAUCAGCAACUACUUCCAAUGGCUAAGAGUAAGCUCGUCCGGACCACUCCUAUGGCCCUCUCGGCUGGACCUACUCCCACCCUAUCCGACUCCAAUCCUUAUCCAACUUCCACUCAAUCAUCUCCAUAAGAGUAGACUUAAUAGCUAUUGUUAGCCUCACUUUUGGAAAACUCACAGGAUUGCUAGCUUUUCAUAGAACCUGUUAUCAAAACUUUCAAACUUCUGCUUUCAAUAUGGAUAAGAGACUUGCUGCCCAGCCCUAGGAAGCUGCUAUAAAAAAGCUUGCAAAAACACUCUUGCUUGGGAAGGUAUGGUAAAGGUAAACUGUAUCUAUUUUUUUAUAUAAAAAAAGGAGUGCUAAAGGAGUCAUUCAGAAGUGAGUGAAGGGGCGCAGAAAAAAGCUCAUUUCUUUCAUUCAGGAAUGGACACUGGACCAGAAUGAAAUGUGGGAAUAUCGGGAUUGGCAGAUUUGUUAUAUUGAAAUAAGCCUCAACUCAACACGACUAGUGAAUUCAAAUUAUAGUCACUUGCGGAUUUCUUCAAAUUGUUGUAGUGCGGAUGAAAAGAAGUCCCUGUGAGCGGAGCUACAAAAGGAAGUUCAAGCUCAAGAAAUCCUCUCAAUAGGGAUUGGGCAAGCAAGCUGUUUGUUUAUUUGAUCUUACCCGGUUGUGAGACGGGACGUGAAGUCAACCAAGUACAUGUGUGUUCAUAGUGUCCCCGGCACCUUCCUCCUAGCUGAGUAUGGAUGCUGAAGUUCGCUGGAGUGUGGGGCGAGUGCGUGGUAGAUGGAACUCCUAUUUACCGCUUUACCGCAUUUCUUCUUGCACUUCCAACUUGAAGAGGAAGAAGCAUCUUCAAUAGAUAGGAAAAAGGAUCUUGACCUGAAGCCUUCGAGCAAAGAAAGGAAGAGUUGGUGAAGUCAGAGUUCCUUCCCUAGAUUCAUGGAAGGACUUUUUUUUUAAAAAGGUUUCAAAUUGAUCGAGAAAUGAAUGAUGAGUUGUUUAAGUUCCUGCUGAAUCCACUAUUAUCGAUGUAGGUAGAAAGGGCAUAAAGCCACGGCGCUAACACGCAUCCAUUUUCUUGCUAGAUGCUGACCAAUUGGUCAUGAACAUCGUAAGGCGUUGCUCUUCGCGAAUCCCUGCCGUAGUAUCAGCUACCCCUACUCGCUUAAAGCCCUUUACCGAAGAAGUUCUACUUUCCCUUUGACAUCUUGUAAGUCACAGCCUCCUUACCCAGCGAGUGAAUGAACGAGCCAAUAAACUGGUGAUCGGUCCAUUUACUAUUUAUUAUAGUCUAUGACGGAAGAUCGUCUCUUUGCACAUGAGAUGCGUACUUUGUGGUUGGCCAGGAUAAGCAAAGCCUACAUCAUCUAGGACUUGCCAUUGAAAAUCAACCUUUCUAUUCGGUCAUCAACAGCUCGGGUCCAUUUAGCUUCGGUGACCAGAUAGAUCCAUCAUCUUCGAGGAGGAGGAAACAUAAGUCCAAUACGCGUUAUGGAAGACUAGGGAUUGCUAAUCCGCCCACGCGGGAAGCCUUCUCCCUCUCAGGCUCAAGAGUCAAGAUAGCCCGCCCUAAACAAGAAGCAGCUUAUUCUUUCUACUAUGGCGGAUAAAGCAAACCAAAACGCGCAACGGCUUUCGCGCUAGUUGCUCAACCCGUUGCUUGUUCGGAAGAAUCCGCAAAUGAAUAUUCUUUAUUUCCUCUCGGGCAGGCCCUCUUUUUUCAUUCGAAUGUACAUCUUUUUCGGUAAAUGAUCAUCUACAACUGAAAGACUGACGUCUUCCUCUACUCGAUCCUUAGUGAAAAAUUAUCCCUCCACCUCAAUUUUUAUGAUCCUCAUAGCCUUUUUUAUUCGCGUCCUCCCCCUGGAUCUAUUCCUGCCGCGUCCACGUCCUCUGCCUCCAGCAACUAGAGUUGCAUCAUCUUGUUCAUUAUUGAGAAUAGGCCUCUUCUCACACCGUACCAGUUCUUUUUGCAGUUGAAUCUUCCCGUUCUGGCUUAUUGAGUGUAUAGAUUCUUUUUGAAAUGCAAUCUAUUCCCACGUCACUCUUCUCAUAACAUAUCCUGUUCUCCUAGUACACAGACACUAUUACCAAUCUUAUAGAAUAGAUUCCUGUGCCAUGCUUGCUUGCCUCACAUUCCUAAUGUAUUGUUGACAACGCUUGCAAUAGGGCGUAGUAGUGUUGCGCUGGGUCGUCUUGUUCGGAAGCUGAUUGAGAAGAUAUGCUGGCGAAAAUAGGAUGCGUAAACCUUGGACUCAUCAUAGCUAUGCUAUGGCUAUGUACUAGUUGACGAGCUUGCCUCCAGUACUUGAUAGAUGCCCAUGACUCUCUAUCUUCAAGUGAUCUUUGCCCAUAGGCGUAGUAGUUGUAGCGAAGCGGCAUAUAUCGUAGUUGUUCGGAUAGCAAGCUACCUGACGUGAUAAGGCUACUAGUGCCCUCUUCCUCUGCGUGUAGAAAAGGAAGAAAUAAAUCAAUCAAAUUACGAGAAGCUUCAUAAAGCGCUUCUUUAGGAGUUAAACUUCCAUUCGUCCAUAUUUCUAGAAAAAGUAUCUCGUGUUUUUCAUUUCCAUUCCCACAAGAAAAAAUACUAUAAUUCACAUUUCGAACAGGCAUGGAUACAGCAUCUAUAGGAUAACUUCCAUCUUGAGAGUUCUUUCUGAGUUCCGUAUGAUAUCCGCGAUCUCUCUUGAUCUGUAACUCAAUACAGAAAUCAAUGGGCUCUCUCAAGUUAGCUAUAGGUUGUGUCGUAUCAACGAUUUCUACGGAAGGCGGUAAGAUUAUAUCUUGAGCGGUUAUGUAUCUAGGACCUUUGACGCAAAUUGAUGCGUCUUUAACUCCAUAGAGAUUACUUCUCAAUACAAUUUCUUUCAAAUUUAGUAAAAUUUCUUGUAUGGAUUCUUCAAUACCUACUAUUGUAGAAUAUUCGUGUGGCACGUUCCCAAAUUUGGCGCGUGUGAUACAUGUUCCUUCUAUUUCUCCAAGUAAAGCUCUUCGCAAGGCAAUACCGACAGUAUCCGCUUGACCUUUUCUAAGCGGGAACAGAAUGAAACGACCAUAAUAAAGACGCUUACUAUCUACUCUUGAUUCAACACACUUCCACUCUAGUGUUUGGGUGGAUCCUGUUACCUCCUCUCGAACCAUAACAGACUAGUAUUAUUAUUUGAUCAUUGAAUCGUUUAUUUCUCUUGAAAGCGGUUUCACUUUUUUACAGACGUCUUUUUUUAGGGGGUCGACAUCCAUUAUGCGGCAUAGGUGUUACAUCGCGUAUACAACUUAACCGUACACCACUUUUAGCAAUGGCUCGUAAUGCGGCAUCUCUUCCGCUACCAGCACCUUUUACCAUAACUUCUGCUCGUUGCAAACCCACUGUACGAAUAGCAUCUACUGCUGUUCUUUGACCAGCAUAGGGUGAUGCUUUUCUUGAGCUUUUGAAUCCACAAGUACCUGCGGAGGACCAGAAAACCACCCGACCUUGUGGGUCUGUAACGGUUAUAAUGGUAUUGUUGAAACUGGCUUGAACAUGAAUAACCCCUUUUGUUAUUCUACGUGCACUCUUCCGUAAACUAAAACGGGCAUUCCUACGCAAACCAAUACGCACUUUCUUACGUGAACCUAUUUUUGGUAUAGCUUUGCUAAUCUUUGAUGGCCAUCUUGUAAAGGAAAAUCAAGUCUCAUGUUGCUCCUCUGAAAAUGCGUAUAGAAAUGGUGUGGUGGAGAAUGCGCGUUAGCGCAACGGCUUUCGCGCUAGUUGCUCAAAAAAUCGUAUAAAAAUCAAGCAAGAAAAUGGUUCUUGCAGGGCAGUGGGCGUGGGACUGUAAAUCCUCUUUCGUUCGCUGGGCCUGGGCCCUUUGGACUGUAAAUCCAAACGGAGUAAGUGGUUCGAUUCCACUCAUGAACGAGAGCGAGACUGAACGAAAGAAAAUGCAAGUGAAACGAGACGAGAAUCAAAGAUUGGGAACAUGCAUUUGAACCUUCCGAAACCGGUAUUGGACAGUGUUCAGUGACCCAAUAUCAAUAUAAUAUAUAGUACUAUAGUAAGUACUAAAGUGUUGUCCCUUUCGUCUAGCGGUUCAAGAUCUCGUCUUUUCAUGUCGAAGACACGGGUUCGAUUCCCGUAAGGGAUAGGUACUGAUUCCUGCCGGUCUGAUUGCUGAGUGGUUAGAAGAUCAGCUGCUAACCUAUUUUCAUUUCUAACUUACCACCUGUAUUUCCGGAAACGAAAACCGGAAAUGACAAUCCUUUCAACUGUCUGUACAAAAUUACUUUGUACGAAUGCACAUCUCGGCCGUCGGGUAGCUGCUCACCAUUUAAAAGUCUAUACCCGUGGUUCCAGAAAUGGAAUUGCUAUUCUCGAUUCAGACAAGACACUGAUUUGUUUACGAAGCGCUCUUCAUUUUAUAGGAUCUCUCAUUCGUAAAAAAGGCCAUUCCUUCUUUUUAAAGACUAAUCAUUUAUUUAUAUAUUUGAUAAUGGAAAAAAUGAUAUAUUCGAUAAUGGAAAAAAUGGGGAGCUGUAUCAAUGAUUCUCAAUGGAAGAUCGGGGCUUUUUUGACCAAUUCUUAUGCUAAUCCUAAGAAAUUCCGUUCAAGAAAGAAGAAAAUCCAUUUUGGGUUGAACCAACAACCUGAUUGUGUGGUUAUUCCGAAUCCAGAUAGAAAGUCAUCGGUCAUACUGGAAGCUAAUCGAUCACAAAUACCGAUUGCAUCCUUACUUGAUUCUACGAUCCCAUGGGAAUCCUAUAAAAGAAUCACUUAUCCCAUCCCAGCAAAUGAUACUAUACAGUUCAUAUAUCUAUUUCGUCAUUCGAUCACGAAAACAGUGAUUCUUGAACGGCCAAGAAUAACAGCAAUUCAGGGGGCUGGAGCACGAGCUUUUAGUACGGCAGGGUCUGGGGGUAGGAAGCACUACGCCUCUGCCUCUGGGAAUAAGUAUAAAUACAAGGCUACCUUUAUCCAUUUAUUUUGGAUGAAAAUCCUCCUUCUCCUUCCCCGGGUUCCACUAGGAUUAUUAUGUUUAUUUUGCCGGAUACCCACGAGCAUACUAAGUCUUUUUUUUUUCAUACUAAGUCUUUUUUUUUGUGUGGAAUCCGCAGCUGCUGCGACAGGGGGGGAUAUUGUAAUGGCUCAUCCGCCCGGGAGUUCGGGAUACACCACAAAUACACUGGUGGAUGCACUGAUGGACACGACGAGUGCUAGUGCUUCCUCCGGGGAGCCUUCUGUGAAUCAGCCGACGCCUGAAUUCCAUCCUGUUGAGCAGGAGGCACCGAUGGAUGCACUGAUGGACACGACGAGUGCUCGUGCUUCUUCCGGGGAGCCUUCCGUGAAUCAGCCGACGCCUGAAUUCCUUCCUGUCCAGCAGGAGGUCGAGCAACAGGCAUUGUUGACUGAAAUCCGCGAAGUUCUUCAGCAAGAAUACCGGAGGUACAUCAUCCGCUCUAGUCCCUGGAUGCGGAACACCGGGUAUCUGUAUUCACCGAAUAUAACAAGGGUAGCAGAAUUAAUGAUUAAAGAUUUAGAGUUAGACUUAAGUUCAAUUGAAGAAUUACAGCAAUUUCUCCAAGACAUUGGGGCAAAUCCCCAGCAAUUGAAUUCCGAAUUCUUUAAUUACUGGGGGAGGAGAGCUUAAUGAUUUCGAAGACUGGGGGAGCUAAAUGAUUUAGAAGAAAGAAUGGUUGGGAUGGGGGUCUCAUAGAUAGGUUGGGGACUUAAGUGAUUCAUUUGAAGAGCAGGAUUGGGUGGCCGACCGGCCCGCAGACGUAGGAAGGCUUUUCUCGCCGACUGAACUGUGUCACCAAAGUCGCGAUCAGAAAGGUUUCUAUCCGGACCAUGCAUCUGGAAAGCGCCGGUUCGAUUCCGGCUCGUGACAUGAAGAAGAAGUCCCAAACAGGGAUCAGAUGAGUUUGCACAGCGUUACUUUGUUGACGGAAAAUCAAAUUGUUCUUCCGGUUCAAUGAAGACUAUGCUUACUUUCUUUUCUCUUACCGGUCUGUGUUCUAUCAUGGACCUGUAUUCCGUUCCUCGAAUCGAGACUUUCUUUGUCGAGGAUCUCUGGUUUAGGGUACUCCAUCGAGUUUCAGUUUCUUCUUCUAAUGGCUGUGUCCGUCUAAGGUGGCUAUUUGAGCGAUUUAAGUAUCGCGGUUGUCUUGAGCUCUGGAUUGAUGGGCGGAAACCUGGGGCUGGUACCUUUCUGUUUAUUUUCAGCACUAGACUCCACAUCAGGAUAAGCUUCUUUCUAUUAAAGAAAUGUCGAUUUCCCUCUGUUUGAGUAGGCUCGCGAUAGAUUAUACGCAUGAGGUAGUAAAAGCGAGUUAUAAGCUCUUUUCUCUAAAGAAAGUAGGCUUCUAGCAAGGCCAACUCUAUCCUGCUCAAUCCCAUGCUUAUCAUUUUCACAGAUAUGAAUUCAAUGUCAUAUAUUAAUUGAAAUGGUUUUCUCCUCCGAAUUGACACCCAAAAGGGAUAUAUAUAGCCUUCUAGUACCUCAACCCAGAAAGCCUUACACACACUCUGAUGGGAAUUAACCUAGAGUUAUUUUUAUAGAUAUUACAUUUCUAGAUAUAGGCAAAUAUAGGUGUUAUCAAAUCCUAGAGGCAUAUGACCAGCCGCAUGCUAUUAGUAUAGGGUCAGCAAUACCUUGUGAGCCAUGGAUUAAUAAGAUUCUAGGGGCCCUAAAGGAUGGAUCAAGCAUUAUUGAAGGAAUAGCUCGCUUAACAACCCCCGGGGGAGAGUAUAGAUGAAUGCCUUAAGCAAGGGCGUCUAAGCGUGCAUGUACACAGUUUUUCAUGCCACAACACAUCGGUGAAACCGGAGAGAGCUGAAGAGAAGGGGAACCCCAGAGGCAUUGACCAUUUGGUACAGCCGCUAAUUCGGCAUUUGGUACUGUCACCAUUUCUCGAAAGGGAAAAAACAUACUUAACAAUUCGAUUGGCAGGACCAAGGGAUAGAUCGAUUGCAAUAUCAGUAUCAUACAAAUAGAAAUAGACAUGAGUACAUGAAUAAGGAAACGCAAAAGACACAGAGUAGGGCUAGUCAGAAGCGUCAAUGCAGACGCCAAUGGGUAAUCAGAUCCAUUCCACUCCACUUCUUCAGAUAGCAGUCGAUCCUGGAUCGUCCUCGCUUCCAAACUCCGUAAAUGAAUGAAACUCCUUCCCCGGUCCAUUGCUCGGGUGUGAUACAAAUACUUCUUUGAAGUUGUAGGAUGCGGGUCAUCGAUCUUCCUAUCGGUCCAGAGGCGCCAGCUUGGGAAAGAAAAAGUAAGAUUUGUUUGUCAUAUCACGACACGAUCGGAACUCACAUGUAACUCUACUUCUUGAGUAGGGGGAAAAGGACACCUAUCACGCGGUCAUGCCUUGAACGCAGUAAAGAAAUUAAUAAGCUUCGAAUAAUAGCUACGCGAGUCUCCAAUAGCGUCUUAAGCGUUGGUUUUCUUUGCUGGCAUCGUAAUGGAUUGGUGGUUCGUUGCCUCUAUUUUGAAUAGGGUACGGCAUACUUGCCUGAAUCCUGAAUCGCAUAGUUGUCUUUUAGCUUGAACCGCCUCCUGUGAUCUAAAACUACUGAUACCUUUAGCAGAAAGAAAAAAGAGAAAAUAGCAUUUAGCUUGGGAAAGGCUCUUUUUUUAGGUCUCUUUUCGUACUAGUUCUAUCCAGCUAUGAGCGAAAGUAGUCACUUUCUUCAAUCGCCGAGUUGCCUGAAUCUUCUCUCUCGGUUACUCAGUGGAGUGAUCUCUCUCUUAAAUUCCCAUAAGGAUAAGGAAAAGUAGACGGUUCGAAACCCGUGCUUAAAUCCUACUCAAGGCCCACUACGGGCUGCGAGCAAUUAACAAGUAGAGACAAGGAUGAGGAGAAAUGACGCAUAUACGGCCGGCCUGGGUCACUCAUGAUGUUGGUAGUUCAAGUGAAUUGUCGUAGUGUAAGGAAGAUUGAUUGGUUUUCAGAUUGCUACUUGGCUGGCAUAAGAAAGAAGGCGCCCCGGCAGGAAUUCUGUAAGCUUGACUUGCGCGCAGGCUACCACCAGAUACGAAUGGAAGCUCGCUACUAGUUGCGGGUCUAGGUGCUGUCCAGUGAAACGUUUCCUUAUUGCUCAGUCAACCGGGAAAGUGGGUGGAAAAACCCUUCGGGCAAGAUAAGAGUUGAUUCGAAAUUUCUCACCCUUUUCGGAAGAAAAUAAAGUGAAUUCAAUUAUCAGGGGUGUCCCUUCCUUCAACUGUUCUGAUUUCUCUACGAGUUUUGAUCGAGAAGAAGUCUUCACAGGGCUUCCACUACUGUAUUCUUAAAGCGGUACUUCGGCCGGAAAGAAAGCGGUUCUGGUCCGGUCGACUCCCGUGCAUGCUCCUCUGGGUCAGCACGAAAAGCAGUUGUUGCCUUGUCCGGAUAAGUGGGAAGGUGCAGACUUCCUUUGUACAGCUCUGUUAAAGAGCUUUGAAACCUCAGGGGGAUACGAUUAUUCAUCCCACAACCCAGCCCUAUUAGGAAGCGAUAGAAGUGGAAAGAUAGCUGGUUUCAGAUCGGCAUCCCAUCUCUGAACUUUUGCUUCCCCCUUACUUGGAAUGAUAAGUAGGUCCAUCCGUAAAUCCAGGGGCAUCGAAUUCUUUAUCCGUUGGCGCUAGUUUUGAACCAAAAGAACCGAACCGAAAGGCACUGAAAGUUGUUUCGUCAGAUCCACCUUCCGAACUUGAAACCGCUAAAUCGGAUUUUGAAAAAGGCACUGGCGUCCCCGAAGGGUCUAGUUGAUAAGAAGUAAUAAAAAUGGUUCGCUUGUGGAUAUCGGACCCAUGGAGCUCAUAAGAAAAGAGUAUGCUUUGAAAAAGCUCUUUUUGGGCUAGAUAAAAUAGAAACAGCAUACUUUGAAUGAGAAGUUGGCUAUUCUCGAGGCAGCCCCGCACUUAAAGUAGUUUGUGUUUGUUCUACGGAAUUCAAUAAAGCAUGAGUUCGGAGUUCCUAAGUUCGUAGAACCUAGUGGAAUGAAUCAAGCGAGAGUACCUAGACCUGUUGAUCAUAAAAGAAAAUCGCUAUUAUCGUAUAGAAAGUGAAGUUCAGUUCCAUGUCGGUAUCUUCGUCGGUAUCUUCCAGAAUUAAAGAAAGUAGGACUAUCUCCAGAUAAAGUUGUUAGAGCGAGGCAAGGAUGGAUUCGAGAAUGGUGAAGUUAUGGCAUUCUCUUUUACCUCAAGCGAUAGUUGUUUAUCCGCAUUGGAAAAACCAUGGAGAUACAAGCGGUCAAAGCAGAAAGGGUUUGAGCUUCGACCGUGUUAACUCUUCUUUUAGAGGAAGUCAGUCAAGUUAGAAUAGAAUAGAAUAGAAUAGAACUAGCCGACGCUUUCGGGAAGGAUAGGCCUCAAUUAGCAUUCUAUCGAGUCAUUUUUAGCAAUCUCGCAUUCAGCUGGUCUUGUUCUUGCACCUGGAAAAAGGUUAUGCAGGUCAAGCUCUGAGGAUGAAUACCGCUCUAUGGCAUUAGCACUUGCCGUUACAGUGUGGAUAGGCCUCAUCUUACGUGAUGUUGGUUUUCCCUUAUAAAAGCACAAGCUUCUAGAAGAUUAGGUAGAUGAGUACCGAGCGGAAGAAGAAACCUAUCACGGCGAAUUCCGUGGUUCAAGAUGUGGUUUCCUGUGCGUACCUUGAGCUGCUGGAGGAAGAGGACGGAUGGGAUGCCUGUAGAGAAGUGCGGUCAGAAACCAAACCCAUUGACUUCUUAUUGUUUUGUUCUUUCGGGUGAAGUCAGAUUCGUAAAACAAGGCAGCAGAUAAGCUAUGGCGAUACAUAACUCUCCUCAGUUUAGAAGACGGUAUCUUUCUCCCCUUAAACUUCAAGGAAGAGAAGGGCGAAGCAUAUACCAGUGUUUUGCCAACGGCACGAAGCGAAUCUUGCAAGCCAGCCUAGCCCUACGCCUAGAUUGAUAUUCACAAGAACUACUACGUACGGUAUUCACAAGAACAAUAAGUUGAGAGGAGGAGCAAUAAAACUGGACGAAAGCAGUGGGAAGAAAGCGAUGCCCGGGCGAUGGUAGUACGAAAAGCUCGACUCCUUUGGAUUCCGGAUUAGAAGUAGCUCCGGCUGCGGCUAGAAGGCAGUUAUCAUAAUUUGAGGAUGAUGGAUUUUUUAUUCACAAGCUAGAUCGUAUUAUAAAGGAACGAGGCCCAUCUAUAAUCUAUAGUAGGUGGGCCCCAGCUCUUCACGAGGGUCAGUGCGGCUUUAAAGCUCCUAAGUCGUCCACUAUACUAUACAAUAAAAGAAUCGAAGCCAGAGGAAACAAGUGAAGGUGGAUCAGCGAUUCCUGUUCAGGUGGUUCCAAAACUAGAAACUAUUCCUCUACUCGCUAUGCGAAAAAAACCUGAGAAAAUAAGUAUAGUCUAGAUCGUACUCAUGAAACUCAUAUAAGAACAAGGUAUGGAAAUUCAUCUUUACAGAUCGGAGGAAGAGUAGGUUAUUCAGCCCGAGACUCGAGAUGAUCGAUCUUGAAAUGAUAAGAGAAGGACCCACCCCUAUAAAUAAACUAUUCCAAUGACUUUGUUCGCUUCCCCUGAGGCAACGGCUGUACUCGGCACACAGACCUGGCUUAUGAGCAGGAUUUAUCAGCCAAGUGCGUAUGGUUGCUACCUGUAUUCUGAUAGGCCACUUAAUGACACUGGCUCCCAGUUAUUGACUUAUGAAGAAUGGCUUCUCGAUGGAAGAGAAACAAUAAUAGGAAAAUAGGAAGCUGCAAUCUGAACCGGCUAACUAGACAAAAGGAGAGAGAUUGGCUCAGUUCAGUAGGAAGCUUUCCUUUUCUCGCCUUAACUACUACUUCAAAGCGCCAGGCCUUAUCUAACUAAAUAAGGCUUGCCCAACUUUUUCACAUUGGGGGCUGGUAAAUACGGCUAUGAAGCCUCAUUGAAAGGAAGUAGGAAAUCAAGCAGAGGGCAUGAAAGCAACUCGACCGAAGGGGGAGGAAGUGUUGUAGCGAGCCAGAGAGCGCUAAAGGGUGCUAAGCAUAUCCAAUUGCUGUCCAGGGACCUCACCUCUACUCUUCAUCCCCUCCUGCCAGUGAAACAAGAAAUAGAGACGCAGAAGAUCGAUGAUCUAUCGAUCGAAAAGGAAUAUGCCUCGGUUAGCAAGGAUAAACCCUGAUUAGGAAUAUGCCUCACUCUGACUAGGGUUUUCCAAAGCCGUCAGUAGGAAUGAUAUGGACAAGGAGAUUCAGAUAAGUUGGGUGUCGGGUGCAGGCUAGUUGUAUGCUGGACCAGAUUUGGUAGUCGUAGCUUCCAGAAAAGUGUUACAUUUUAUUGAUGGAGGUAGGCCUUCCCCACUCGUGAUUGAUUUGCUCAUUCAUCCGGGAAGGAGGUACUCAAGGGUUAGGUAAGUUCUUGGCUUCUCCGGCUCACACUUGCCUGUGCUAGCAGCCGCUACCAUUUUGCAAUCAAUUCAAAGGCGAACUCUUUCUCGGUAUUGGAUAGAGGAGGGGCAGUAGUAAUCAUUGGAAUCACGGGAACGCACGACUCUCGGUGGAUUAGUUCCUCGAGGGAAAGCCGGGUAGUAGCUACCAUCCGUCAAUUCAAUCAAAGCAAGGACACAGGGCACAAAGCAUUUCCCGACCACGGAUAGGUACCAUGUGUUACCAUUCAUUUGUCACUUAUUUGAUUCUAUCUCAGAGGAAGAGUGUUCGUUCGGGCUAACGAAAGAUCUCAGAGGGACUCUUACUUCUACAAGAGCUUUUACACAAGUUAUCGACAUAUAGGAAUUCGACUACCUCAUCACUGUGUGAAGGAAAAGGUUCAGGAAGCUUGCCUCAACCUUAGCGUAUCUCGGCUAUGUCCCAAUCGUUAAAACUCUCGAUUUGAAUGAACUUUUACAAGCAACAAGAGUGCAAUUGGCAACUGCCUCAUAUCGUUCAUCUAAUGAUGUGGUAUACAACUAGAAAAUCAAAUCUUUACAUUGAUCAUAUCCAUGGCAUGGGUCGUAUCAGAACGAAGAAGGAAAAGAUUCAUUAGCAAAAGCACCCGAAGCAGAUGGAUCAACAUAACCACAAUUGACCCUGUUUUCCACCUACUAGCAGCAGGAGUAUUCAUUUAGUUCUGGAACACUUCCCAAAUCGAUAUACGAAGAAGGGCAAUCUCAGUAUUUAAGUAAGAGAUUUCUUAUAUGUAUGCUAAUCCAUGCAUCUGGAAUGAUACUUGCAUAGGAAAGAAAGGAGUGUGUUUAGCGAGUAAUAGGAGAAAGGAGUGUGUAUGGCUAGGUAAUAGAGAACAAUAAAGGAAUCAACACCUGCGUAUCGUUCCAUGGACAAGACUGGUAGUACUGUAUUCUUGACGAGCACUGCUCAUAUAUGUCGUAAGGGCCCAUGCAUUAUACCUAUGUACUUUCCCAUGCUUUAAUAUAAAUUUACUGCCCCAUUCUUUCUACGAUAGCUGGAACUAAUUCCUUAUCAACCAGUAGCUACCCGUUCACUUAGCCUACAAACUACUAGUCCAUAAGUAGGUAGCCCAUAUGGAAGAAAGGAGAGCUAGGCGAAAGCCACAAAGAAGUAAGUGAGCUAGGCAUUCCUGGUUGUCCACGUUGAAAGAAAGAAAUAGAUAGCUGGAAAAGACUAGCACUAUCCAACUAGUUGUUUCGUUCCUGCUGUCCAAACAGAGCUAACUAUUCGUUCCCGUAGCAAAAGGGGGAAUGUAGAAAGAAGUAGAUUGCUUUUCUUGCCAGGAACUACUAACUGACCUCUCAAAGCUUAACGAUAAGCACAGUACAGCCACAUGAUCAAACUUGAUCCUUGUUUAUUCCGAAAUUCUAUUUUUUUAAGCAAUUUGCCCUUCCCAAAACAACUAAUUUUUGAAGGCUAUGAAGGAUUGACAAGCCCUUACUUCAAUAUAUAUAUGCAACUUUCCCAGCUUAUAUACUUGGGGCUUCCGCUGCGCGCCUUUAUUUGACUUUUCCACGAAGACAACAAAUCCUACUAGAAAGGGACAAGUAAGUUGCCUCAGUCCUUUCGAUUAUUAGUAGGGGCUCGCAACACCGACAAGGAAUGAAGUCAACAGAGCAAGCGUUAGGGAUAGGAGCAGUGUCGCAAUACGAUAAUAGAAUGCGCUUUCUCAAAUAAAUAUCAUCUUCUUUGGUUUGGAUAUGCGAUUAGGAUUGUUCUUUCGGAAAGAAAAGAUACCUUUGCCCUGGAGGAUUGGACCUUUUUACAUUUACCUUCCCCAAAAAGGAGUACGAAUCGCUACGCUCUAGCUCGUAAAAGGGAUAGCUCUCCUAAAGGGGAUAGCGAUAGGUCUAGGAAUAGCAUUUCUCUAGCGUAGGAAGCAUAUUCCAUUCCCUGAUCUUUUGAUUGAUUUGAACGAUAAGGAACCGCACCUCCAAUAGGAGAGGAGCAGCUAAAUCUCUUCACGGAAGACCCGAACUGCCCUAGUGCUUAACCCGAAGCUAGGCGCCCGUCGCACAUUGCAUUGAUUUGGCCUAUAUAUGAAACUAACUUUUUUGCAAUUGGUGACCUUAGGGAAAAUGCAAUUUACUACUUUCCCAUAUAUAUAAAUAAAAUGAUCAAUCCUGUCCUCGGCUAUUCGAACUAGCUGGAUUUUCAAUAGGAAGCCGUUGUUGUUCCCAAAAGGGCUAGCGCUCGUACUCGUAUUGGUUUUAGGGAAGCCGGGCUUUGGAGAUUAGGAUUUCUUUUAAUUAGAUUUGUUUAUCGCUAGUGCUAGGAGUAGGAAUCGCUACGGAUAUCAUGCCGCUGUAGUUCCCUUGCCCAAUAAGGAGUAGGGAUUAGCCGUGUACCGAACCCGAAGCAAAGGAAAAAACCUCUUUCUCUUCGGCCCCAGAUGCAGACGAAUCCGAAUCAAACUAUAGAAUGUUCUUUGCCGAUGCUUUGAAUCCCGGGAACCGACAGGAAGCUUUGGAUGAAAGGAUAGGAAUAGCUCUUGCGCAAGGAAUAUCAAUAGCGUACGCGUACUAGUCCUGGGAAUAGAAAAUAUCUUACCCGUGAAGGGGAGGCAAAAGGGAAAGCUAGUAUUUUUAAAAAGGGUAUAGUAGCUGGUAUUCGGAUUUCGCAGUGCCGUAAAAGGAAACCGUUGUUGUUUUGUUUGCCCCAUAUGGGCAUAGGGGUAGCCGAGGAAAACCUUACCGUUGUACGAAAGGAUAUCUCGUAACGGAAGGAUUGAAACCAGAUAAAGUUACUGAAAUAACUACCUUUGCUAAUGUGCUUUGUCGAACAACCUUGACUAGCUUUCCAGCAUGCGCUACUACAGCCUACCUAGCCUCUUCCUCCUCUAUUCCAUUUCUAGUGCAAUAUCAGAAGGUAUCAAAUCCAGCGUAUCGAAAGCCCGGUCCGUAAUCCCUUCGCCCCGUCUUUGCUUCCCCUCGUGCGCUUCCAUAUAAAUUCCCAUUUCAUCUACCAGUUGAACUGAUUCGAUCACUGUCCCAUAAGCAGUAGGGACCACGAGUGAGCUUAUUUCGUGAUCGGCUAGUAGAUCCUCAUUUCUUCUUCUUUGCAAAGGUCUACUGGGUAGAAUAGAUCCAAUUGAUGGCGACACAUAAGAACCCCUUAAUUCACCUACCCCUUCUCACUUCUGGUUCAUCAAGAUAGGGGACAGAGGAAAUCCUCUAGGAAUACCAACGCAAUGAACAAUCAUUGCCCCUUUUUUGCAAAUAUGGGCGUUUUCCGGAGAUAGGAGAUAAGAGGGAUAAGGUCAUCCCCCUUUAUCCCAGUAGCGUUCUACAGCGCUUUAACAAGAGACAGUGGUUCACGCGGUCUGCCCGCACUUGACCACAUCACACUGGACUAAGUAAUCCAUCUCUUUCCAAGUCUGUUGUGAGGAUCGAGAACACUUACGCUGUCUUUCCUCUCAAUUAGACCAAUCAGAAAGAUUCCCUAUCUUAUGUCAUUGGCUGGAGAAGAUUGAUAGAUAGGCUAUCAGUGCACUCUUCUGGGUGGGACCAGAACUACUCGUUCUCGCACCCCAGCGCUAUGCUCCAGGCGCAUCUUGGCACUCAAUUGGAAUGAGUCCGAAGAACACUUGCCCCCCUCACCGGCUUUGUCAGAUCUGUCUUUCGGCUGGACAGCUUCCGCUGCUACUUGGAUAUUGACUCCGACGCUUGUUCCUAGAUAUAAAAAGAAGUAGGGCACCUAAUAUGAGAUACGAGUCAAGGAUUGAGACCACUAGUGAGAAGGCAAAGAAAUCGUUUUUAUGUAUCGGAAGGGAAAGAAGAACCAUCCAUUGGCAAGCACCCACUCAACUAGAUGCUAAACAAGGAAUUGCAUUUUCUUGUUUAGCGUACCUAGCACUCCACAACCCAUUAGUUGGAAGGCAAUCACCAACUUAGCACACUAGAGCAUACAACGACCUUUAGCAACCUUUUCUCGAGCGAGACUCUAGUAGGUCAAGCCUGCCGUAGUUGGGCAAGCCAACAGGGCGGGAAUAUUAUAUGUAAUACACUACAGUAGGGCAAGCCAAAGUAGUCAAACAGUAGGCUGUAUAGCAGGCUGUGGGCAGGCGCUAAGCGGUAUAGCAGUAAGGUCAAGCGGCAGCCUUGAAGUUCAACACGAAUUUCCAUCCAGUCGAAGAAUUACCUUUCCUUUACUUAUCCAGUCGACGAAUUACUUACUAUAAGAUCGUUAGAGAUGCUUAUCCAUGUCUAUCCAUAGCGAUCAUGUUUGCCGAAGAUAUGAGGUAUCUUUCUUCUCCAGCUACUAUCUAGUUUCUUCUCCUGCUACUCUAAAAUAAAUCACUUAUCUACAGAAAUUACUUAUUAUAAGCUACAUGAAUAAAUAACUUAUUCGAAUAUUUCCCGAGUGUUUAAUCAAUCCCCAGGCUACUUUUCCCAUAAGGAUCAGAUGAGACCUGUAUGUCUUGCUUUGUACUUAGUGCUCGCAGUGGCUCUGGAAUUUCAGCUAGACCUUGAGCUUUCCUUCUUUGAGCAUGCUUUCCUUCUUCGCUUUUCACAUAAAAGACGGGGUCUUACCAGCCGUUGGACACGUACUCCUGCUACCAAAGCUAGAUAGGAAAGUGAAGAUAUGAUCCAACUACUCGAUAAAAUGGAUUUUCUAGAAUUAUGCUAUGCUUAUUCCCACUCUGACUAUUCCACCUCCUGUUCUCAAUGUCAUAGUAAGAAUUUUACCUGACAUCAGAUAAGCAUCACGCUUGCUUCGUUAGACCGUACGGAACCCAAGCAAGAGAGAAAUCUCCCCGUUGUUCGAUCGUACUAAAGUACUGCUGCUGCCGAAGACUCUCUCUUGUCAGAGAAGAGGGUGUGUAACUAAAUCAAUGACUCACCUUAUAUAUCAUAAUGGGCUACCUCGUCUCAAUAGGUUAAAAUCAAGGUCUCGCCCCUUCCCUCUAUCCUAAGAUUAUCGUAGUGGUUGAUGAGAUGAGAAACGAAGUGAGGUCAAGGAAACGUGAUUCCAGGUACGCCCGUUCCUCUACAUCGUUUGACUAUCAAAGUCAGGUCAAAUGUAGGUGAGUGUUGCUUCUCAGAAAACGCGUAGAAUAGUCUCAUUGGCCCUCGUCAAUGGGACAAACGCGGAAGUGUAUGCGUUACUGUACUGGGAAGCUAGCAUUUUGUCUUGUCAUGGAAGUUCGUGUUCGUGUUCGUGUUCGAAUGUUCUUGUUUUUCGUUGGAAAAACCAACGCCGACGUCAAGAUCAGUCUCCUUUCUCUUUUGUUUUGUGAGCAGAGCUGAAAAGAUGUUGUUACCCACCCGAUGUUGAAACGGAUUGCAAUUGAAGUUCUUCAUUUGAUUACUUGUGGGAUUUGUAAAAAGAAUCCUGCCUCCCCCCAGGAUUCGGAAAUGGAAGAUGAUGGCUAUUCCAUUUCUAAAAGGCGUCUCAAUAAAGAGGGGUUCCAGAAAUUUCUGGAAAAAGAAGAUAAGAAAAAGAGACGCUAGUUCUUCUUUUCUUACAUACUAUCUUUCCGCAUGAAAAAGACCAAUCAAAAACUUCUUCGUUUCGUUGGUAGAACCCACGCCAACUCUUUUCUCUAAAAAAUAGAGAGAUCUUUUGAUAGUCUCACUUCUAUCAAUGCAAUGAAAGAACUAUCCCUUCCUAUUUGUUUGUCCUAAUGAGACAAAGAAGAGCCUCCUUCUUUACCACUUUAGGGGAUGGGGGUGAAGGGGGGUUUACAUACAACCGGGGCAAAGUGGUUUAUGAUUGAAUCUCAGAGGCAUUCUUAUCAUUUGGUAGAUCCAAGUCCAUGGCCUAUUUCGGGUUCACUCGGAGCUUUGGCAACCACUGUAGGAGGUGUGAUGUACAUGCACUCAUUUCAAGGGGGUGCAACACUUCUCAGUUUGGGCCUAAUAUUUCUCCUUUAUACCAUGUUCGUAUGGUGGCGGGAUGUUCUACGUGAAUCCACGUUGGAAGGGCAUCAUACAAAAGCUGUACAAUUAGGACCUCGAUAUGGUUCUAUUCUCUUCAUAGUCUCGGAGGUUAUGUUCCUUUUUGCUUUUUUUUGGGCUUCUUCUCAUUCUUCUUUGGCACCUACGGUAGAGAUCGGAGGUAUUUGGCCCCCAAAAGGGAUUGGGGUCUUAGAUCCUUGGGAAAUCCCUCUUCUUAAUACCCCUAUUCUCCCUUCAUCCGGAGCUGCCGUAACUUGGGCUCAUCAUGCUAUACUCGCGGGGAAGGAAAAACGAGCAGUUUACGCUUUAGUAGCAACCGUUUCACUGGCUCUAGUAUCCACUGGCUUUCAAGGAAUGGAAUAUUACCAAGCACCCUCCACUAUUUCGGAUAGUAUUUAUGGUUCUACCUUUUUCUUAGCAACUGGCUUUCAUGGUUUUCAUGUGAUUAUAGGUACUCUUUUCUUGAUCGUAUGUGGUAUUCGCCAAUAUCUUGGUCAUCUGACCAAGAAGCAUCACGUUGGCUUUGAAGCAGCUGCAUGGUACUGGCAUUUUGUAGACGUGGUUCGGUUAUUCCCAUUUGUCUCUAUCUAUUGGUGGGGAGGUAUAUGAAAGAAGGGAACGAAUAAGUGGAUUGAGGAAUGAAAGCUCGAAGACAAAGAGAACUUCUCAGGGUAACUGGAUCACCCCGGCAGCGUGGUUUCUCUGACGAGCAGGAAGCCACAAAAAGCAUUGUGCUCUUGUAACUGAUCUUUUAGUAGGCGAAGUUGCCGAAUUCUGAAAUCACUACAGGCACUGUGCAGGAAAUUGUCGGUCCUAAAAACAAUGUGUCCCCAUGAUCAUUUUACAUCACGAUAUCUUUUUCUUCUGGUUAUGCGUUUUCCUCUUAACUUUUUUUUUAUUUAUUUGAUGGAAUCGUCCGGGCAGAAACUGUCAAAUGCGAUUCUUUUUAAGAUGAUUUUCCGGUUGAUCCGAUCUAUUUUCCCGGCUUCUCACCUUACCUUACUACUCUACUGGAUUGGAUUCCAUUUGAUGGGUAGGGCUGGCAAAUAUUCCAUGUAAAGGUGGGAGGGGCGCCGGGAUCCUGUAGUAGGAAUCCCCCCGUCAUGAUCGACUAAAAGGAGAAGUCUCAAUGAGAUAUUGGUUCAAAUCCAAUUCAUGACGAGUUCAGAAGGACUCUCUAAGAGAAAAAAGAAAAAACUGUUAGACCGAAACUCUUUUAGGAAAGAAAAAUCAAUCCAUAUACCAUAUACAAAUGGAUGAUACAUAUAUCAUAAAGAAGGAAUAUGGAGCGGGUAGUAGGAAUCGAACCCGUAACCCCAAGGUUAUGAGCCUUGCGAGCUGACCUAACUGCUCUAGUCCGCAUGCCUACCUUUCAGGGAAGGAGGAAGUACUAGAAGAGCCAGAAGCUAGGGGUGUUUGAGCUGUCUUCUUCCUUGGGGAGAACUAUCAUCCUAUCCGAAUCUCUUUCUCUCUUUUUGGGAGCUAGUUUAAUGGCUGCUCGACCAAGCCAGCCGUAGCCAACCUUCCGCCGAGAUCGAGAUUUCAGGCGUGAUGGUAGGCGUGACCAGCGGUAUGAAAACCGCGAAUCCCGAGCUUCCUCUUCUCGUUUUGAUGAUGCACAAAUCAUUAUGACGAUUUUUAUCGGUUUGGAGACCAUAUAUCCAAGCCUGAAGCGAUCAAAUGCAGUUAAACCGGUCCCUGGGGAUGCUGUUCCAGGAAGAGCUACAGUUGAAGGAGAUGCUGCUGAAAGUUCACCUGUUUCAGUUUCAGUUGGAGUACUAGCCCCAAGGGAAGGAGCAGAGGUAUCAGAUAUGUAAAUCUACCUGUUGCUCCAACAUGUGAGGAGAUAAACCCGAAAAAAGAAAACCACGAGUGAUCCGACAUUAGUUCGAAACCAGCAAGCGUGUAGCGAGUGAGUAGAAUCCUUGGGCUCCGAAACAAGCGAGUUCAAACCCUACCCUAUUGUCUUCUUGACCAAUCAAGUCAAGCUUGAAAACUGCUUCUUCUCAACCAGGAUACGAGCCAAUGAACCUUCUAUUACAACCGGAAAGUGAGAGAAAACCAAAUUCUCAUACUAGAAGCGAUUCAAUUGUGAAUUCACAACAAGUAGUCUGCGAUCAAUAGUUCAUCGAGACAAUGCCUAGUCAACAGUUUCGAGACCAAAGUGCACUAAAGCUGUGGAAUGUGUUGCAGAUGUUCAGUAGAGUAAUCUUUUUUAUAGAGGAAUCCCUAGGUGGAAUUUGUGAUGUAAUUAAUGCUCUCUAACUAACUCAAUUUCCAGUCAUGUGCCAGUGAUUUGCCAGGCCGGGGCCCGUUGGAAAGUAUGCAUUAGAUAGCUAGGGCUACUAGGGCUAAGAGGAAUAGCUUUUGAUCAGUUGCCAAGUUAUAGAGUUAGAGAAAUUUUACCUAAUUGCACACAAAAAGUUGCUCCCAAAAGAAGGAGCCUGUGGAAAUGAAAGGGAAUUGGUGAUGGAGUGUGCAACGUUCGCCAAGCACUGAAUAUAUGAAGUCAGCAGGGCCGGUAGUUCUUUCUUGGCUUGGAUUCCUUCGCUUCCGAAAGAGGUUCAUCACGAAUACCAUCAAUAUCAACCGGAGGAGAUCGUAUGCAAGAAGCUCUUUCCAACGACAAUUUUUCUUCGAAAGGAGUACCAGCGUGAACCUAGGUCGCUCAAGAGGUACUUUGUGUUAUACCUUAGACCUUACCAGAUCCAAUUGCUGUGCAAAGCUACUUAUAAAUAAGGGUUUCCUUUUUCCUUUUGUCGUACCUAAAUGUUUCACUCUCAAUCUUCCUCCAUUACUGAAAUGUCAACAUUAAGCACCAAGAAAAUGAAGAGACACUACAUAGAUAAGGAGGUAUUGAAUAAAGCAAGCCUUUCCUCUUUUGAACCUCGCCAUUAACGUUAAGGCUAUGCCAUCUUAAGGUGCUACUACUAAAUGGAAGGAUCUUAUCAACGUCCAUGAAUGCGAAAUCAUAGAUCGAACUGACGAAUUGGCAAAAUUCGGUGCUAUCAUAGUAUCCGCUAAGUUCACGGGCUGGAGAUAAGCGGACUCGAACCGCUGACAUCCGCCACAGGGUAAACCACCGCCUCUCAGGCCUCCCCGACGGGUUCUACCAUAGAGGACAACGAUAGACAAUAACUCCCCCCCGAACACAGCUUACAACUUUCAUCGUACUCUCCAAUUGUUGAGCAACUCUUCUCAAAAUCUCAAAACAAAAGGUGCUGAGUUGGAAUCCCAUUCUAAGGAUUCUUGUGGUUCCGGGGCGAUCCAGUCACCCGGAGAAGAUUUCUUUUCUUUGCUGAUUCCUCUCAAUGAAAUUUGCCAUGUUGCACUAAGUUACUUACGGAUGUAUGCAUGCAGUCCGGGAACACUUUGGGGUGAACACCCAUCCGAACAAGUAGGGUCAAUAGUUCAGCAUUUAGGCCGUAACAUUUAGCAAAAAACUAAUCUUAAACCCAACAAGUGCUCUCCGAACCAAGCUAGAUAGUCUCCUAUCACUAGGCUCACCAACCAACUUGGACUUUGAUUCUUUCUUAUUAUUCUAACCGGAUAUCAAAACCAUAAGGAUUGUUUCCAGCCAAGAGUUCCCAUAUGACAUAAGCGCUCUUGGGUGGGGUGGGCCCUCAUUCGCCAGGUCUUUGAGUGCCCGUCGUACCACGUGGUUGGUACACUAGGCUGAUCGAUACUUUACUUUGAGGAUCCGGCACCUGCGCCCGACUCGGUCUGCCAGUGAAUUUUGGCUCUACGUCCGGUCGUGCGUGGUAUGUUCGCGAUUCGUACAAAUGGAAGGCAUCGCGUACGUUAACCUUCCUUUAUUGGGCUGGGCCAUUCCAUCUUUGAGAAGGGGCCCAAUCUCGUAUUUGAUGGUCGGCGUGGCAAUAUGCUUAGCUUCGUAGACAGGUUUCCCAGCCGUUGCAAAGACUUCGCGAGAACGGUCAGGGGCGCGAUUCGCCAAGCUAGGGCAAACAAAGCCGUCCGGCCCUACCAGAUUAAGAAUGCGAAGGCCUUUCCUUCGAAAGGAGAAAAAAAAAGAGCUAUGCUAUUGACCGACCCUUUCGUACUUACUUCGAAUCAAUAGGCCUAUCAUUUUUCAUGAGGCGGGCCAAAUAGAGAAUGAAAUGCAAAAAUAGGGGAAGGGGGGAUGGUCGCGCCUUUGAUUUUGUUUAAGGGCUGCUCGCCUUACUAAAGUACCAAAGGCUUUCACGGCUGACACCCCUACCUUAGAAUCUAAGCCCUUUGAAGCGCCAGUAGUUGUAGCAGUGGGUAAGGCUUUCGUUCAACUCGCUCCGGGUUCCGAUCUAUAUGACCUCCAGACAGUACAAAGUACACCUCUUCCGUAGAGGCAAGCUGGUAGUAACCUAACCUUUUAGAGUCGGGGGAGCCGAGCCCUUAACUCUAUCAAUAGAUAAAUCUUCGUGCGUGGCGUGAGUUGGAAUCCUAGAAAAGAUCGAUUGAGACUCCCUCCCCGGUUCCACGAAGAUCUCUACGUACUUGUCUAGUCCAGGACAACUGAGAUCUUCCGGUCUGCGUGCGUGGGAGCAG